rnacentral:rRNA from 1 species
GCUUUAAUCAAUUUAAUUAAUUUGGAUUUCAAUUUAUAAAACCUUAAGAGAUUAAUAUAUUUAUAGGUGAAAUUAGAAUAAUAUAUUUUAUCUUAAAUCAAAAAAAAUUGAAAUAAUCGGUUUAAACUAGGAUUAGAUACCCUAUUAUUCGAUUUAUUUUCCUUUAUCCAGAGAAGUAUCAGUUAGAAUCUUGAAAUUCAAAAAACUUGGCGGUUUUCUAGCCUUAUUAGAGGAACCUGUGUCAUAAUCGAUAAUCCACGAUUGGAAUUACUAUAAUUUUAGCUUAUAUACCGUUGUCAUAAGAUAAUUUUAAAAGAAUUUAUCUAAAUUUAUAAUCUUAAAAGAUGUCAGAUCAAGGUGUAGCUAUAUUAUAGAGAAUAUGGGUUACAAUAUUAUAAAAUAAACGAAUUUUAUUAAUUAAAAAUAAAUGAAGGAGGAUUUAAAAGUAAAUUUAUUAUAAAAAAUUGAGUAAAGCUCUAGAAAAUGUACAUAUCGCCCGUCGCUCUUAUUUAAAAAUUAAG